GGAACCUCUGUCACAUUCUGAGCUGUGGAGGCUUGAUUUCCAAAGGAAAAAAGGAGGCUUAUUGGAGGAUGUUUGGGAGCUAUCUAAGGAAACAGAUCAGUUUUAUGAAAAAAUACAAUGAUGUGGGAUGAUAGCUCAUAGAAAUUAUAGAAUACUGGUGGAAACUAAUGCCACAGUUAUAGUAACAUAACUGGCCCAUUUUUAUCUUUUAAAGGUGAUUGUUUUCCUCACUCUAAAUGCAAACCAUUAUACCCUACAGAAAAUUUAGAAAUGUUAUUGUUGUUGUUGUUAUUAUUAUUAUUAUUUGGUGGUUCUGGAAAUUGAAACCAGGGAUUUGUGCAUGCUAGGCAAACAUUCUACCAACUGAACUAUUUCCCCAGUCCCUUCAUUCACUAUUUGUUCUAGACAUAAGAACUUUCAUAGCAAAGAGGAAGAAAAAACAGCCCAACUUGUUUUGUGAAGUCAGUAUAGUCCUGACACCAACGCCAAAUAGGUUCAUUAUAAGAAAAGUAAAGACCAGUAUUCCUCAGGAUGACAGGUAUAAAAUCUUUAACAAAAUAUAAGCAAAUGAAGUGCAUCAAUAUAUAAAAAUUAAAAGCAUUAUUUCAAAUGAAGUUUAUUCAAAUAAUGCUAAUUCAUUUUAAUAUUCUCAAUGCAAUCAAUCUAAUAAAUCAGUCUAACAGGUAAAAAGAGAAAAAGUCACAUUACCACCUCAAUUCAGAAAAAGAAUUAGGCAAAAUUUAGCAUCUAUUCAUAAUGAAACCCAUCAAAAUCUGAGGAAAAGGGGAAUUUCCUCAACCUGAUUAAAAUUUUAUGAAAACCUACAACUUGAAUAAUGUAUUUUCUUUAAUUUAAUUACAUUAUUAUGAUAAAGAGUCAGAAAAUCUAAUGCUGUUCUAUUUACUAAUGUGGCAUUUCUAUGAAUCACUCAUUGAAAUUCCUGGAAGCCCUUUUAUUCAUAUAUAAAAUGGAAACACUAAUAAUAUUUACCUCAAACAAUUUUUGAAAGACUCAAAUAAUUUAAGUACAUGAAGGUGCUUUUAGUUUAUAAAAUGCUAUUUAACUUGAUUUGAAGAACCUAGAGAAUUAAAAUUCUUUAAACUUCUCUGACCAGUACCCUGAAAAUCCUAAAAUAGAAUUUCCCCUGAGCUAUGUAUUACCUCAAAAAAAAUUUGUUUUUUUUUUUUUUUUAAUUAAUGGUGACCUGGAAAGCAAUUUAAAUAUUUUAAAAUCCUUUUCUGAUCCAGGGUUUCUUUCUGAGUUUUCACUUGUUGGCUUUUCCAUUAUAGCUGAAUGGAGUUUCUGAACAUGAAUGUAAAUAACAUAAUAGGGUCACUUCCUCAAGCCUUCAUGGAGGAUCUAGAAGAAGGAAAUUGAGGAUAAUGGAUUCAAUUAUUUGUCAGUUUAUUAGUAGAUUUUCAUUUUAUACACUCCCACUAACCUUCACCCCCAAAGGCAACUAUGGUCACACUCCAGCGCUUUCUUCUUUAAAGUAAGUCAUAUUCUUAUGCUGACUGCAUCAGGGAGAGAGAGAGUGUCUCACCCUCUAAUAAGGUCUGGGAGAUAUAAAGAGUGAUCUUAAUGCUUUCUAAUAGUCCUCAUUCCUUGUACCAAACUAAUUUCAAAACUCCAAUGUAUCCUUGGUGCUUGAUAAAACUUUAUAUUAGAGGAAACUGUAAAGUAUAUGGUAUUUAUGCUGCAAUUAGCAAGGUCAUUAUUUUUUGAAACUAUUUCUAUUAUUGAUAACAUAUAAAUUUUAAUUAGAUUUUCCCCCUUAGGGCUCAGGUGUUUCUAAUACAGAUGUCAAAAUGGAAGAAAUUAUAAUUCCGUAACAAUAAUGAAACUCAUUCGUUUUCCACAUGGUACAAAGAAAUUCACAAAUCUUAUGUUAAUUCACAAUUGUCAAAGACUUGCAUUGUAAUUUUGAUAUAUUUCUUUGUUUCUAUUAUAAUUUUGUCUCCAACAGCAAAGGAGGACCAGAUAGGUGGCUGAAACAGUGAAACAGAUUUUUUAAUAGGGAUCUAAAUUUCAGAGAAAAGUUAGUGGUUGGAUAAAUGGUGGGCCUUUGGAAAAAAUCAUAGGCUUUGGGAUUUCAAGGACUUCAGAAAUAAUUUCUUUCAAAUCUCUGAUUGUAGAGAUGAGAGAAUGAUAUUCAUCUAGAAAUAAGUACCUCAGAAUCAGUAGCUUGAUUUCAGACCCCAGAAGAAUUUAACUUGUUAGGGGCCAGGUUAGAAAUUAGGAGUGAGAUUCAGAAAUAUAGUUAAGUGGAGCAAGAAUGAUAGACUCAGAUCAGUGGGCCUCAAUCAUAACCUGCAAACUGGAGUCUAGCUCUGAGGAAGGAUGUUAGCAUCGCUGAAGAAGGCUGGAACACAGCAGGAUGGGCUUGGGGAGUGACUACAAAGAACUCAAAGCAAUACUGGCCUCCUGUGGGUCAGACCUCAGGACUUGAGAUCUCCCUUUACUCUGCUGAAGGCACAGUCCUAGAAACAGAACUGACACUGGAACCUUAGUGUCCCCAGGGGAAGAUAAACAAAAAUUUCCACAUUAAUAACAAUGAAAUGAAAGUCAAGGAUUCUAAGGUUUCUAAAUUCAAAUUGAGUGCAUGGACCCAGAAUGAAAAAUUAUACUUGUAUUUAAACUUGAAAUAUUGGAGUUAUAAUAUGAAUGACUCAUAAUAUGAAUGAUCCCUUGAGUAUUGUUUGAGUCCAUCAAAACUAACAGAUACUGUCUGUGGACAAUUCCAUUCUAGGAGGAUUUUGAUCUAAUUCUUGCUAAACUAGUAGGUACAUCUGUGACCUUGAGCAAGUUCCUUCAACUCUGUUUUUUAUUUUUUAUUAUAAGUACAAUGGGGAGAAUUAGUUUAGUUAGUCUCAGAUUUUCCUCUAGCAUAUGAAAAUUUGUAAAAAUAAUAACCAUUACUGAUAUCAAUUCUAGUAUAUUUGCUUUUUAAUAUAUAACUGUGUAAAUUUCUUAUAACCUCUUAUAAC
rnacentral:lncRNA from 1 species